GAUUCCACAGAUCCAGGCUGGGGACAAGCCGAAUUUAGGGUAUAGUUCCCAAAAUGCCACAAAAUAGACUGCUUUCUAGUUCAUAAACCAACGGGGUUCAGUCCAGAAUGGUGUAGGGACCAGUGCUGGGAGGGGCUCUGCCUUCAGCCUGGGGAGGAACAGGGAGAAAGCAUUCCGCACGGCCUGAAAACGAUGCUCUUCCUUUCGAAAUCCGUGCUCCCCUGGAGUCUGAGGCUCACUGUAUCCUCUGAGAAAGGUCCAGGGCAGAGACGGCCCCAGGGUCAGAAGAACGGGACUGUACCUCAGUGGCACAUCUGUAAACUGAGGCAAAGGAUCCAAGCGCUGAUCUGUGGCCGGCUGGCACUGACCCGUGGCCAAUCCCCGGGACACACGGCACAGGGUGCACGCGAAACACCUGCCUACUCCCCCAGGGAACCCCGGUGCUGCCCCUCCCAGGGACUGAGCUCCAACCUAAUGAGGUAACAGCCACAUCUCACCUUCAAAACAAGGGCAUCCUUUGAAAAGCUGCCACAAGUCGGGUGCCAGAGGAGUAGAUCGCGUUUUCAAACGCACCACCCUACACGCUAAUGAGUCCUUACCGAAGUCGCUCGGGCUUUAGCAAGACAGACCCGCUGUCACUGAGGGCUUCUCUCUGCUGGGUCUGAGCUCGCACACCUCAGGCUUCGCAGCACCCGUCUACAUCUAAACUACUGCUGUGCCUUUUGCAAAAGGCGCCAGCCCAGAAAGCACAGGGUUGUGAGCUCCGUCCCUCAUAUCAACCAAGGAAAAGCAAGAAAGGAAAACCCACAGCCAUCUCGUAGUGACCUACGUUGACGGUGACACCGCGACUGAGUAAGUCCAGGCUGACUUCAAGAAAUUCACGUCUACCCUAGCCCAAAGAGCAACAACGGUUGAUGACUAAUUUAUCUCAGCCUCAAACGGGUUGACCUCACUCGACCAGCCGCGACUUCUGGCACCCACAGAUGGCUUCCACUGCGGCCUGACAGAUGGAGAAACUCAGAGCCCAGGUCACCCGCCUGACACACACCCCUUUAACUGUGCCCCCUGGCUUAUAAUGGGGCUCACUUCUCUGGGGGCCGAUGCUGCAUUCCUACCAUCUCUGUCUAAUAAAUCCUACUCAUGCCUCUUUC